rfam:Rhizobium etli CFN 42 plasmid symbiotic plasmid p42d, complete sequence.
GGAGGAUGGCCCUCCGGGAUCGGCUUUCAGGAGCGGGUCUCAAACCAGUCCGAACUGCUGCGAUAAAGAGCCGUGGUGGCUGGGGCUUACUUUCCGCCGCCGGUGCGCGUCGUCUCCAUUCCAAAGAAGACCGGAGGCGAAAGGG